ACUCCUACGGGAGGCAGCAGUAGGGAAUAUUGCUCAAUGGGCGAAAGCCUGAAGCAGCAACGCCGCGUGGAGGAUGACACUUUUCGGAGCGUAAACUCCUUUUGUUGGGGAAGAAAUUUGACGGUACCCAACGAAUAAGCACCGGCUAACUCCGUGCCAGCAGCCGCGGUAAU
rnacentral:rRNA from 1 species